rnacentral:rRNA from 1 species
CAGUCGCCACGGGAAUACGUAGGUGGCAAGCGUUGUCUGGGAUUAUUGGGCGUAAAGGGCUCGCAGGCGGUUUCUUAAGUCUGAUGUGAAAGCCCCCGGCUCAACCGGGGAGGGUCAUUGGAAACUGGGAAACUUGAGUGCAGAAGAGGAGAGUGGAAUUCCACGUGUAGCGGUGAAAUGCGUAGAGAUGUGGAGGAACACCAGUGGCGAAGGCGACUCUCUGGUCUGUAACUGACGCUGAGGAGCGAAAGCGUGGGGAGCGAACAGGAUUAGAUACCCCCGUAGUCCCUGUCUCUUAUAC